rnacentral:lncRNA from 1 species
CAAGAACACACCUGUGGGUGGGUGGAUAAACUAAACCAUAAACUCCACUGACUCAACUGGCUGUGAUGGCAGACCAGACAGCCAGCUCAGGUUUGCCUCCUACAACGGCAGAAUUUCCAUGACCCAGUUUUCAAGGAGAGUGUAAGAAAGAGACAUCUAUAACUGAAUACAGAGGGCUUAUAUCUUCUGUCAUUUGAUGGCACAUCUGUUUGUUAGGCACCUGCUUCUCAAUCCAGUGCAACACUGAGGUUUCUCUUUGCUCACAGAAGCAAUGAUCCUAGAACAUUUCUUUGUAGCAACCUCAGUCCUGGUGAAAAUGAGUUGGUAGAGGAUCCUGGUUUCCCCCAGUCUACAGACUGGAGAUGAAAUACAGCCUACACCGAUACUGACUGGCAAUUCCAUGCAUCAGACAGAUGGUCUAUGAGGACAUGCAAGAAGUGGAAACUAGGUUGAAUACAAGUCCAUAUCAUGACAUCUGCUCCAAAAGGCUGGCAGGAGGAAGAAAAAGAGAAGCCCAGGA